CUGGUUUGUUCUGCUAUGUGCACCCAUUAUUUUCUCUGCAGGCACUCCCAUUCUGGUCCAACAACCUCUUGGAGCAUCAGCACAUUUUUUUAUCUCCUCCUCGUCGUUUAGGGGAAGCAAUUGUGCGUCUUUACUUUGGAUCAUUUGCGUGACGAGACACACCUGGACAAGACACGAGUGGCUGGAUGGAGCUGAUUGGUAGACGCAAGGAACGGGGCUAACGAGAACAGAUGGGACGGAUUUCGGCAAACGAGUGCAAAGGCGAAGCUGACAGAUGUAGGAAUGGUGGGGUAGUGAAGAGGGCAGUGGGGGUGGGAUUGAUGGAUUGGGCAGACUCAGCUGGAUGUUCAGCAGAGACCCCCGCCGCCCCCCAGCCCCACAUCCAUCACAGUCCAGACUGAAGGAGAACAGACCUCCAGAUGGACAGCACUGUGUUGCUGGGCCACCCGAGCGGACAUCUGGAGCACCUCGGAAGUACCCCAAAUUGUGACAGACGGCCGGCUCAGGUACCACCUGUGCCCUCUGCCGAUUUUUCAUGUAACUGUACUUUACUUGAGUGUUUAUUUCGUAUUCAUUUAUGUAACCUUGAUUUAUCCAGGUAAGGCAAUUGAGAACAGAUUCUCCUUUGCAAUGCCAACCUGGCAGCAGAGUAAAACAUGGCAAAACAAAAGCAAAUAAAAAUACAUAACAACAAACUGUACGGUAGGAUAUAGUUACCCGACACAUUACAUUACAUCUUAGCGCAUGGUGAAUAAAAGGUUCCAUUAGGAUGUACGGGGUGAGUUACAUUAUUCGUUGCAGAGUGUUUGGGGCAGAAGAUUGAAAAGAUUGGCAGUCAUGGCCAUCUCAGCUCAGCGAUGGGGGCGAUGACCGCGCUGCCUGGCACCCGUGGCCCGGUCGUGUCGAGUGAGCACCCAGGCGUAACACGGGGGAUUUAAUUGCGGUGCAAGGACUAAUUGUACGGCCAGGGCAGCUGCUAAUGAGUUAAUUCCAGGCCGCUCAUCCAUGAGCAGAAGAAACAAGUCCUCGGCGCGGUAAUUACGCCGCCGCUCAUUAACCUCCGAGCUUCAGCACACAGGAGAGCUGAAUGCGCUCGAUUCAGACGAUAAUGCUUUUUAACCGUGCGGAGGCAGACCGAGUUGAUUUGUAGAAACCCAUUUCUUUAUGUCAAAUAUACUUGGAUUUGUUUUCUUUAUCCUUUAAUUUUGGGUUAUUGCAAUACGUGUUUGUUAAUUCAUUCAUUUAUUUGUUUGUUUAUUUAUUCAGUGACUGUGGUAUGGUAGUUUAUCGAUUAAUUCAUGUAUUUAUUUCAAAAUCUUUCUUGUGUUUCUUGCAACUCAUUUUAUUCAAUUAGUCCAAAUACUAAUCAUUAUUAUCAUUUUAUGUUUUCAAUGUCAAAUGAUUUAAUUGUGGUCUAAUGCAAAGAGUGAUUAUUUAUUUAUUCAUUCAUUUCAAAUAUCAUUGAAUUUUUUUUAAAAUGUGGUUUAAUCCCACUAAAGUUUGUAUUUAUAAGCAAUAUAUAUGUAUUUGAGUCUAUAUACUUAAAACAUUCUUGAAAUUAACCAAUGAUGGUUAACUUGCUGAAAUAUACUUUGGAGUUAUUUGAUAUGGAAAGCAUUUUGAGAGGUUCAAUUUACAGAAGAAUGCAAGAAUGCGUCACGUGUUUGGGGGGGUCGACAGAAUGCUUCCCCACCCCAGGUGCUGGCCAGCCACAGUACACCUCUGUAAGUGUGUACGUGAGGGGGCUGACAGUGUGAACAUUUAUUCAUCUUAAAUUGAACCUAAGCAGCCGUUUUCAAAGCCAACUCGCGGAGGCCCGCAUGGCUCAACUUGCCAGGUUGCG